CAUAGAGGCAUACCCCGUGUCCUCUGUUCCACCGCCAUCAGUACCUUUCCCCAUCCCAUCUAUUAUCAUCUGGCUUUCUUUUAUUAUUUUUUUCUGCCGAAAACACUAAAGUUCUGUCCUCCGGGUUUUGACGCCGUCAUAUCUCCGGUCCGCUGCCGCCAAGCUUUCACAACUGCCCUCCGCCGUCUCCUUUGUCCUGUUCGAAGCUUCCCCUCUGCUUGGUGGUUAUUGGUGACCUGCUGCCUCCGCAAUUGCCUGUGUAUAUUGCCUAGUUCGUCGGAUUCCGCCAGUCCUGCUCUCUUUCGAUUUUUCUUCACAUCAGCCUCCCCGGUCAAUCCUCUCUUAGCCACUGUCAAAUCAACUCUUUUCGGGUUUAGGUAAUAGUCAGAAGCCUGCAUCCACCUAGCACUAUCCUAAGCUAAGGCACUCAGCAACCAACUUAUCAAGAUGCCUCGCUUACCUAAGUCUACAUGUAAGCACGUGCCACCCCGCGCUCCACCUAGCACUUCCCUACUGGGCACUUUUCAGGUAGAUGUUGAGGCAAUUAAUUGAAUAGGAAAUGUCAGAUGGAGUUGGAUUGUAGCUAGAUGACCCUUUUGGAUGUAAAAAAUCCCAUGUCAGGAUUAUCUUAUAUCUAUAUAUCUAUAUGAAUUGUAAUAUUUUGAUAACCAUAGUCAAACUUAAACCUGGCAAGAUCUUGGCAGGGGUCGUAGUUGUUAUUAACAUGUAUGUAAAUUAGUUUUUAAUGUA